UUGGAUCUAGAUUGAGAAAAAAAAACCUUUGGACAAAAGUUGCAAAACUGGCCAAACCUCUCCUCAGGGACGAAAAUGUCAUUUUACUCUUUCUUUUAUUCGUAUUUGACAAUGUUUAAAAAUUUGGUAUGUGGUGGGUUUGUGUAUCUAUUCGCUAAUAUAAAUAGUACAAACACAUACAUAUGCUCUUUACACGUGUCUUAUUAUAAUGAGUUGCUUAACUAAGUUCAAGUCCUUACUAACCUCAUUUUCUUGAACGUAUCCGAGUCGUUAAAAGCAUCAAUAAAAUCAGCUUCAUUGGAAGAUGCUCGCCACAUGGCACACAGUUGUGAUAGACUCCUCCAAGAAGUUGAGAGUCAGGCAGUGGAAGUAUUGAGGCGACAAACAAAGGUCUGAGAUCCUACUCCAGAGAGUGCGUUAAAACUUAAAAACAUGGAAGCAUGGUUAAGUGAGCUCCGAUCUUCGAUGAUCACACUUCAGAAAGAAGCAAUCUUCGCGAUGUUGUCGGUAGAGGAACAACAACAACAAAUAACCUUGCAAAAGCUUCUUAUGGUAGUGGAUACCGAAGGUCUUAUCGCCGCCACGUUUUGUCUAUUCUAGAGGAGCUACAUGCUGAGCUGAUUUUGGCAAAGGUUAUUGUUCCAUCUGGCAACGUCACUCAACGUGUACACAACGAAAAUAAAGAUUAUGAUUAUUUUAUUAGAAAGGUCAUUCAUCCAUUUGAUGUUCAAGCAAACGGUGAGCUGAGCUUAAAUGUUGAUGAUUAUGUUAUAGUUCGCCAGGUGCCGCUCUGUUGCUACGUAUGAUAUUAAGUAAUGCAAAAUCAGAAGGUCGGGUGAUGGGUCAAAAGGGGUAAUUAAUAACAUCAGCCAAAAAGGGUCGGUCAAGUUCACACAUAAAAACUAAUGCGUUAAAUAUGAUCACAAAAACUACAUUGCUACAAUAUAACAGUUAUAAUCUUAUCGAUUAGUGUAUAAAGAACUUGGAAUCACAAAAGAAGUUCAAGAGUAAGUAAAUAUUGAUGUAGUAGUGGAGAUUAAAUGCUUAUAUGUCAAAUUUAGGGCCACCAUUUUUGUAUAUGUGAUUUGUAGUUAUGACUAUAUGAAAAAAGAACUUACGUAAAAAAUACUGUGUAACCGGCCGCAACGCGGCGAGUACUUUUCUAGUUA